AGCGAUCAUGGCUCAGAUUGAACGCUGGCGGGAUGCUUUAUACGAUGCGUUUGCACUGGCAGCACGGACUUCGGUCUGGUGGCGAGUGGCGAACGGUGAGUAAUGCAUCGGAACGUGCCUAGUAGCGGGGGAUACAACUACGCGAAAGCGUAGCUAAUACCGCGCAUACGCCUCGGGGGAAAGCGGGGACCUUCGCCUCGCACUAUUAGAGCGGCCGAUAUCGGAUUAGCUAGUUGGUGGGGCAACGGCUCACCAAGGCGACGAUCCGUAGCUGGUUUGAGAGGACGACCAGCCACACUGGGACUGAGACACGGCCCAGACUCCUACGGGAGGCAGCAGUGGGGAAUUUUGGACAAUGGGGAAACCCCCGAUCCAGCCAUCCUGCGUGCGAUGAAGGCCUUCGGGUUGUAAAGCACUUUUGGCAGAAGAAACGGUACCGGGAUAAUACCCCGUGCAACUGACGGUACCUUGCAGAAUAGCACUGGCUAACUACGUGCCAGCAGCCGCGGUAAUACGCCGUAGGGUGCAGCAUCGAAUUACUAUGAAGUGCGCAGGCGGUUCGGAAAGAAAGAUGUGAAAUCCCAGAGCUAACUUUGAACCGCAUUUUUAACUACCGAGCUAGAGUGUGUCAGAGGGAGAAUUCGCGUAGCAGUGAAAUGCGUAGAGGUGGAGGAACCACCGAUGGCGAAGGCAGCCUCCUGGGAUAACACUGACGCUCAUGCACGAAAGCGUGGGAGCAAACAGGAUUAGAUACCUGGUAAGUCCACGCCCUAAACGAUGUCAAAUUAGCUGCUGUUGGGGCCUUCGGGCCUGGUAGCAGCUAACGCGUGAAGUUGACCGCCUGGGAGCAUGGUCGUAAGAUUAAAACUCAAAGGAAUUGACGGGACCCGCACAAGCGGUGUAUGAUGUGAUUAAUUCGAUGCAACGCGAAAACCUUACCUACCCUUGACAUGUCUGGAAUCCUGAAGAGAUUUGGGAGUGCUCGUAAAGAGAACCGGAACACAGGUGCCAUAUUGCUGCCGGCUCGUGUCGAGAUGUUGGGUUAAGUCCGCAACGAGCGCAACCCUUGUCAUUAUUGCUACGAGUGCUACCUAUCAGACUGCCGGUGACAAACCGGAGGAAGGUGGGGAUGACGUCCUCAUGGCCCUUGCGGUAGGGCUUCACACGUCAUACAAUGGUCGGGACAGAGGGUCGCCAACCCGCGAGGGGGGAGCCAAUCCAGAAACCCGAUCGUAGUCCGGAUCAGUUCGUAACCCGACUGCGUGAAGUCGGAAUCCAGUAAUCGCGGAUCAGCAUGUCGCGGUGAAUACGUUCCUGGGUCUUGUACAUUGACCGCCCGUCACACCAUGUGGAGUGGGUUUUACCAGGAAGUAGUUAGUCGACCCGUAAGGAGGGCGAUUACCACGGUAGGAUUCAUGACUGGGGUGAAGUCGUGAACAAGGUAG
rnacentral:rRNA from 1 species